ACAAAAUCACUAUUGAACCAAACCCUGUGGAAUUGAGAUUGAAUGGGAGGGGUGUGGUCAUGCAUGUCCAUGCUUGAUUGUGCCUCUCUUGUCGAUCAUCUUCUUUUUUGCUAGCUAGUGCGAGCAUGUCUGCCAGUCACAUUUGACUCGUAGAUGCUCGCACUAGCUAGUAAAGAUCAUAUAAACACUGAUACAUGACAACAGGUCACACGACUUGAAGUAGAAAAGAGAAA
rnacentral:misc_RNA from 1 species